rnacentral:misc_RNA from 1 species
AAGUCGUAACAAGGUUUCCGUAGGUGAACCUGCGGAAGGAUCAUUAACACGUAAACAACCCCGUGAACAUACAACCUGCUCUGGUCGCCCGCUCGCAUGGACAAGCCCAGUAAAUCAGGCGCUAAAGAAUUACAGAUUUUGAUUUUGGGAAGUUCUGUGUGUACGUGGACGCUGCAAUUGAGCGCUAGAUAAAGCACCCUGGUACCCUAGAGCACUCCCCUGUCUGAAAGCGGCAGGGAUCAAUGUUCAGGGUGGCGCAGUCAACGAUCGCUGUAGGUCCACACGACCGGCGACCGGGGUGGAGGCGAAAGCCCCUACGUCAUCCCUAUGUACCCUCCGGGACUUGGCGAAAGCUGACUCCGUCAUAAAUCGAACAACUGUUAACAAUGGAUAUCUUGGUUCUC